UACGGAAGGGGCGAGCGUUGCUCGGAAUCACUGGGCGUAAAGGGUGCGUAGGCGGCCGUGCAAGUCUGGCGUGAAAGCCCCGGGCUCAGCCCGGGAAGUGCGCUCGAAACUGCGCGGCUCGAGUGCCGGAGGGGAGAGUGGAAUUCCUGGUGUAGCGGUGAAAUACGUAGAUAUCAGGAGGAAUACCGGUGGCGAAAGCGACUCUCUGGACGGCAACUGACGCUGAGGCACGAAAGCGUGGGGAGCAAACAGG
rnacentral:rRNA from 1 species